AUUGAACGCUGGCGGCAGGCCUAACACAUGCAAGUCGAGCGGAUGAGUGGAGCUUGCUCCAUGAUUCAGCGGCGGACGGGUGAGUAAUACCUAGGAAUCUGCCUGGUAGUGGGGGACAACGUUUCGAAAGGAACGCUAAUACCGCAUACGUCCUACGGGAGAAAGUGGGGGAUCUUCGGACCUCACGCUAUCAGAUGAGCCUAGGUCGGAUUAGCUAGUUGGUGAGGUAAAGGCUCACCAAGGCGACGAUCCGUAACUGGUCUGAGAGGAUGAUCAGUCACACUGGAACUGAGACACGGUCCAGACUCCUACGGGAGGCAGCAGUGGGGAAUAUUGGACAAUGGGCGAAAGCCUGAUCCAGCCAUGCCGCGUGUGUGAAGAAGGUCUUCGGAUUGUAAAGCACUUUAAGUUGGGAGGAAGGGCAGUAAGUUAAUACCUUGCUGUUUUGACGUUACCAACAGAAUAAGCACCGGCUAACUUCGUG
rnacentral:rRNA from 1 species